GUAUCCCCCAUGAAGUGGCGCUGAAAGAUCACGUUAGCACAGUCAUAUGAUGUGAAAUACCACAAGUCUGCAAUUUUUUGGUCUUGAGAGCCGUUGCUGGGCUAAGAGGAUGGAAAUCUUUCAGUAAUUAUACCAGUUUGUAUUCGUCUCACAUUUGGGACCAAAUACAAAUCCAAUCCACUCCUUCUCCCUGUGAAUAUUCAUAAAAAACAAAGUGCCAAUUCUGGGCUAAUCAUGUAUGGAACCAAAUAUGUUGAUGAGCCCUAAGUAUAUACUGUAUGUAUGUAUACAUAUGAAUGUAUAUAUUUAUACACAUUAAUUUUGCUUGUGUCCUCUGCUAUGCAAUUUGUUUGUUUAGUAUAGGGCUUGCUGUUAUAAUGUGUUAAUAAGCUGCUGAAAGCUUGGCACCUAUUACUUGAAAUGACAGCUAUGUUAGAAGCCUAUUAACACAGCUCUGCAGCUACUAGAAAUGAAUUUCAAAGAUGGUAAAUGAACAAAAGCGAUUCAUAUCUCUAAGAAAAGCAAACACUGUGCCCAGAACCAUAUACACUUUGAAAAGGUACAGUAUAUAAAACCUCUUUAACUCUUCCACUUAAAGAAACAGCGGAAGGGAACGUUUGGAGAAAGGAAAACUGACUCUAAGAUUUCCAAACAACCUUGAAGACAUAAAUGUAAAGGAUACCACACACAACUUCCUCUCUUUGUUUCUAUUGUGUUCUGAUGAGAACUGUGUUGGACAUAGGAAUAGAACAGUGCAGGUAGAGGAAAUUCUCUUUUCUCACCAUGAAAAAAAAAAAAACAAUUAAAUCAUCUGGAUUUAGCUGAAACGUUUUUGUCCGUCUCUGGGUUUAAAAGGCCAGUGUCUGGCAUUGUUCUUGAAGCCAGGCUUUCUAUGAGUUGCUUGGCUCUGCCUUUGAACUGUUUUCCUUUCCUUUGACUGUCAUUGAAAGUUCACAAGAUGUCUCAAAGGUCUGGGUGAACUUUAGUUGUGAUUAUUAAAAUAAAGUGUGCUUAAGAAUA
ensembl:sense_intronic Gm28492 predicted gene 28492